ACCUCCCGAUCGAUCUACUCGUGAGGAGGUCGAGGCCACCGGAUCCGGUGACAUCGGACUCCCAGUAGUUGAUUGGGCUGCCGGA
rnacentral:pre_miRNA from 1 species